CCCUUAGAUGUUCUCGGCCGCACACGCGCUACACUGAAAGAGGCAACGUGUUUGCCUGAUUCGAAAGAAUUGGGUAACCCCCUAAUCUCUUUCGUGCUGGGGAUUGAGGUUUGCAAUUAUCCUUCAUGAACGAGGAAUUCCCAGUAAGUGCGAGUCAUUAUCUCGUGCUGACUACGUCCCUGCCCUUUGUACACACCGCCCGUCGCUACUACCGAUUGAAUGAUUUAGUGAGGACUUCGGACUGAGUCCAAUGCGGCUUUCGGGCUGCGUUGGUAUUUCGGAAAGAUGUCCAAACUGUAUCAUUUAGAGGAAGUAAAAGUCGUAACA
rnacentral:rRNA from 1 species